CAGUCGCCACGGUAAUACAGAGGGUGCGAGCGUUAAUCGGAUUUACUGGGCGUAAAGCGUGCGUAGGCUGCUUCUUAAGUCGGAUGUGAAAUCCCUGAGCUUAACUUAGGAAUUGCAUUCGAUACUGGGAAGCUAGAGUAUGGGAGAGGAUGGUAGAAUUCCAGGUGUAGCGGUGAAAUGCGUAGAGAUCUGGAGGAAUACCGAUGGCGAAGGCAGCCAUCUGGCCUAAUACUGACGCUGAGGUACGAAAGCAUGGGGAGCAAACAGGAUUAGAUACCCCAGUAGUCCCUGUCUCUUAUAC
rnacentral:rRNA from 1 species